rnacentral:rRNA from 1 species
UUUAUGGAGAGUUUGAUCCUGGCUCAGAGUGAACGCUGGCGGCGUGCCUAAUACAUGCAAGUCGAACGAUGAAGCUUCUAGCUUGCUAGAGUGCUGAUUAGUGGCGCACGGGUGAGUAACGCAUAGGUCAUGUGCCUCUUAGUUUGGGAUAGCCAUUGGAAACGAUGAUUAAUACCAGAUACUCCCUAUGGGGGAAAGAUUUAUCGCUAAGAGAUCAGCCUAUGUCCUAUCAGCUUGUUGGUAAGGUAAUGGCUUACCAAGGCUAUGACGGGUAUCCGGCCUGAGAGGGUGAACGGACACACUGGAACUGAGACACGGUCCAGACUCCUACGGGAGGCAGCAGUAGGGAAUAUUGCUCAAUGGGGGAAACCCUGAAGCAGCAACGCCGCGUGGAGGAUGAAGGUUUUAGGAUUGUAAACUCCUUUUGUUAGAGAAGAUAAUGACGGUAUCUAACGAAUAAGCACCGGCUAACUCCGUGCCAGCAGCCGCGGUAAUACGGAGGGUGCAAGCGUUACUCGGAAUCACUGGGCGUAAAGAGCGCGUAGGCGGGAUAGUCAGUCAGGUGUGAAAUCCUAUGGCUUAACCAUAGAACUGCAUUUGAAACUACUAUUCUAGAGUGUGGGAGAGGUAGGUGGAAUUCUUGGUGUAGGGGUAAAAUCCGUAGAGAUCAAGAGGAAUACUCAUUGCGAAGGCGACCUGCUGGAACAUUACUGACGCUGAUUGCGCGAAAGCGUGGGGAGCAAACAGGAUUAGAUACCCUGGUAGUCCACGCCCUAAACGAUGGAUGCUAGUUGUUGGAGGGCUUAGUCUCUCCAGUAAUGCAGCUAACGCAUUAAGCAUCCCGCCUGGGGAGUACGGUCGCAAGAUUAAAACUCAAAGGAAUAGACGGGGACCCGCACAAGCGGUGGAGCAUGUGGUUUAAUUCGAAGAUACACGAAGAACCUUACCUAGGCUUGACAUUGAGAGAAUCCGCUAGAAAUAGUGGAGUGUCUAGCUUGCUAGACCUUGAAAACAGGUGCUGCACGGCUGUCGUCAGCUCGUGUCGUGAGAUGUUGGGUUAAGUCCCGCAACGAGCGCAACCCCCUUUCUUAGUUGCUAACAGGUCAUGCUGAGAACUCUAAGGAUACUGCCUCCGUAAGGAGGAGGAAGGUGGGGACGACGUCAAGUCAUCAUGGCCCUUACGCCUAGGGCUACACACGUGCUACAAUGGGGUGCACAAAGAGAAGCAAUACUGCGAAGUGGAGCCAAUCUUCAAAACACCUCUCAGUUCGGAUUGUAGGCUGCAACUCGCCUGCAUGAAGCUGGAAUCGCUAGUAAUCGCAAAUCAGCCAUGUUGCGGUGAAUACGUUCCCGGGUCUUGUACUCACCGCCCGUCACACCAUGGGAGUUGUGUUUGCCUUAAGUCAGGAUGCUAAAUUGGCUACUGCCCACGGCACACACAGCGACUGGGGUGAAGUCGUAACAAGGUAACCGUAGGUGAACCUGCGGUUGGAUCACCUCCUUUCUAGA